CGAACCCAUCUACUUCUGGAUAAUUUUAUUUGUGAACUUGUCUGUAGUUUAUUUAGCUGGUCUUGUAUUAUUUUGUUUCUGAAUAGUAGAGUCUUCGGCUGAGGCCAUGCAUGGAGAAUGUGAUCUCCUGAUGCAUCUAUGAGCCAUGGGUCUGAUAGGUCUUCUGUUUUGCUUCUACACUUAUUAACGUGUGAUUAAUUUUAUAUUCUCUUUUCUGGCAAGCAGCUCAUCGGAUUAUAGAUUAUUAAUUAUGCAUGAAUCAAGUUAGUUAUUUUGCCUUUUGAGAUAUGUUUCAGGACAAGUGGAGCUAUCUUUACUAAGAUGAACAGUGCCUCUCACAUCCAUCAUUGCCUGUAUUUUGGAUUUUUUUGUAGCCUUGAUGUUAAGUUUUUGUUUGGUAGGCAUAGCACCUAAUUUAUAAUGAAGUGCGUCCAUCAAGGGAACUGUUUGAUGUAUAUCAACCAUGACAGAAUCUAUCUUAACACUGCCCUGUUUUCUGUGAUUCUCAAAGGUUAUGCAAAUCUUCAUGGCUAUGAUAGAUUGUUCAAAGAACCAUUUGAACCUUGGAAGGGAUAUGUUCUACGAUAUGUGGUACAAACCAUCCUUGUGAGAAAUCCAACGGAUUCGAUGAGGACUGAGGAAGGAGCCGGAGGAGGUGGUGGGUUGAGGAAGGAGCUGGAGCAGAGGCGGCUUUGAGGCUGCCCCUACACGCACUAAGAGGCAGGAGGAAAAUAUGAGGCGCCGGCGAUCCGGACGUUGCAGUGUUUUCUUCGUCUCUCCUGGUGCGAGACCAGAAAUUCAGAGGAUGUGCAAGAUGAAACAUGGUGCAUGAGGCUUCAUGAGCAUAAUUGUAAGGAUUACAAACUUUCUUAGGAAAACCAAUACAACAGUGAUAAAUAUAAUUUCAUUUAUAGCUCAUGUUUUGAACUGUAUUUUAUAUGCAAUUUCGAUAUCAUGGUGGAACACAAAAUUUAAAUAGAAAAAAAUAAUACUGGCCAAUGUAUAUUUUUCAAGUUCAGAUAUAUAUACAUGCUUAACUAAAGUACACACAGUGCAUACUGUGGAAUCACAUGACAAAUAUUCAUGCUUUACUAAAUGCAUCUGCUCCAUUUUGGCAUAUGUGAAUCUCUUUUGGGGAUAGUUCUGUGUGGCCUUGGAUCAAUCCUGAACUGGUUGGUGUUAUAUACCCAUUCUCUUCACAUGACCCAAUAGGUAUUAGAGAGGAACAUGUUACUUUGGUUACUUUUAUCUCCAUUUUACGCAAUUUAGCUUGUUGCAACUGUGGUUUUAUGCUGCAGUUGAUAAUAUCCUUUUAGUUAGAUGGCAAUCUUCCUCUAUCCUUUUCAUUGUACUAUGUUUUUGAAGCUCUGAUGUUUAUUUGAAAAUAGAAACUAGCAAAAUUUUGUUUGCCGCUGCUUGGUCAGGCAAAGCCAGCUGUUCGUUACUGUGUGCGGUUCUCUUGCCAUUUUAUGGGGUGCAACUGGAACUGGCAGAAGACUGUAGUUGUGUCGUUGUCACAUUUACUGAUUUGAUGUUUCUUUUCAAGAUUAUAGUAUUUGUUUACCAAUUUCUUUCUUCUAUUCCUUCUAGAUAAUUUGCUUCAGUUCUACUCCCUCCAUUCUGAUUUACUCGUCGUGGUCGAGUAAAUCAGAAUGGAGGGAGUACAUGGUGAAACAUGCAUAUUGUUUCCCGAUAUAUUGGGCAUCAGUCCACCUCUCAUGAGAUCUCUGAAUUUUCAACCCAUAUUGUGUUUGCUGAAUUAUUUCCUCUAGAUAACUAUGCUUGGAUUAAAAAAUGUGUGCAAUUGCUUUCAAAUGGAGGUUAUUUCUUUACUAAUUCUGUGCUAUUCCACUUUCAAGCUUUUGGACCUAGAAGUGUAAUACUAGCUAGGUUAGCUGCAGAAGCGGGAUUUAUAUGGCCUGAAUUUUUAUUUCACAGUGUAUAAACUGAUUCAAAGUAUUUCUGACUCCUUGCGUUCUGAAACAUUUUGUUGUAUGGUUCUGUCUUGAAAGAAUUGAAGCAAUUUUUCUAUGGGAGAUAAUAUGAAUGUGAUUCCGAAACAACAUGCAGUGUCAUUAAGUUUCUUAUUUACCAACUUAAACAUGGUCAGUAAUAGCACAACUAAAGUUUCUGAACAUAUCAUUAUAGAACUGUUGGCUGGAUUGUGUUUUGUAUGGAUUCUUCAAGGGACAUUUCUAAGGAAUUACAAGUUAGUUUUACAUUUUUCUAGCCAUGCUCAUUGUCUUUGGAUUGCCAAUGCUCGGAUCGGUUUGUGAUCAAGUGGACACAACGACUACCGUUAGUGAGGGUUAAGUAAGGGGUGACCUGAGUGGGCGCCGUGUUGAGAUACACGAUGUUAGUUGAGAUAGAGGAUGUUAGCAUGUGGGGAGGGGGUCUUGAGCCAUGCUUAUUUUUGGUCUACGUCUGUGUGAUAUGUUUUUUUUCGUAGCAACGCACGGACAUUUUUGCUAGUCUUUCCCUAAUCUUUUCCUAAUUUUUUAUAAUAAUAAAGCAUGGAUUAACUCCGUGGGUUCACCGUCACAAUACGCUUCUUCCCGUGAUUUUACGCUUUUAGUUUUACAGUUUUAAAUUAAAACGUAUUCGAGGUGGUACGAAAUUGUGUGUGGUUCUCUGUUGCGGCGUAUUUUCAGAAAAGCCCCUUACGUUUUGAAGAAUCAACCCGCAGUCCUUUUUUUAACUGGCUAACUGAGAUAAUGUUUCAUUGUUGCAAAAACGUCCAUGUAGUUUAGUAUAUUCACCCCGCAGUCCUUUAAACAAACACAUCACAACAGAUCCUCUUCCUCUUCCCCAUGCACGAGUGGGCGCACCGCCGCCGCCACCGCCUUCCUCGCGGAGUCUGCGACCGAAGGAUCGGUUGGGGCGCACCGGGUCUAGGCCGGCCUUCUGUGGGGCGCAGUGCGAGCUCUCGGCUCGGGGCAGGAGGUGGCUCGAUGAAGAGGAGCUGGGGCACGGCGCUCCUCUCCUGGUGUGGCGCACGAGGGAAGGAGGAGGGGAUCGACCCAAGACAGGAGCUGAGGCCGGCGGCGCCCUUCACACAAGCCUCACCGGCGGUGCCCUCUACACAAGCCUCACCGGCGGUGCCCUCUACACAAGCCUCACCGGCGGUGCGGCGGGAGAGCUCCUACCCGUCCAUAGGUGCGGGGAUGCAGAUCCGCGUCGCCAGCCUGUACUAGGCCGAGGUUGACACGCCGGUGCAGGGGUCACCGUCCAUCUUCGUCAGGUAAGCACGGACGUUCUUCUCUCUGUCGUUGUUGCGGUGCUUGGGUCGCGAGGAGGCGAUGCGUGUUUGCUUUGCUGUAGGUGCUUUGGCGCUGUAGACAACACCUCUGGUUCUCCUCCAUGCUCGCAGGCCUCCAGAGUACUCUAGCAACAGCCACUGGACGGCAGGGUGGUGACUGGGAGGCUGGGACAUGCUGGCACGGUCAAACAGCCGGUUCACUGUGAUCAGGGUGCUAGAGGCUCUUGGGGUCGCAGCCCGCUCGCCUGCUGGAGGUACAAUGUUGAUUAUUUAGAGACCUCAUCUUCAUGAGACUAGCAAGGGAUGGACAUUCUGAAGAAGAGGAGAUGAGACGUUGGAGUCCGGGAGCAAGACGCCAUCGUUGACGACGACUCCUUCUACGCUGGAGGUGCUUACUACUACGUGCAGCCCGCCUAGGACGACCAGGAGUAGUUUAGGAGGAUCCCAGGCAGGAGGCCUGUGCCUCUUUCGAUCUGUAUCCCAGUUUGUGCUAGCCU